rnacentral:rRNA from 1 species
CAGUGGGGAAUUUUCCGCAAUGGGCGCAAGCCUGACGGAGCAACGCCGCGUGAGGGAUGAAGGCCUCUGGGCUGUAAACCUCUUUUCUCAAGGAAGAAGAACUGACGGUACUUGAGGAAUAAGCCACGGCUAAUUCCGUGCCAGCAGCCGCGGUAAUACGGGAGUGGCAAGCGUUAUCCGGAAUUAUUGGGCGUAAAGCGUCCGCAGGCGGCUUUGUAAGUCUGUCGUUAAAGCGUGGAGCUUAACUCCAUUUCAGCGAUGGAAACUACAGGGCUUGAGUGUGGUAGGGGCAGAGGGAAUUCCCGGUGUAGCGGUGAAAUGCGUAGAUAUCGGGAAGAACACCAGUGGCGAAGGCGCUCUGCUGGGCCAUAACUGACGCUCAUGGACGAAAGCCAGGGGAGCGAAAGGGAUUAGAUACCCGGGUAGUC